AUCAUUUCAAGAUUCAAUCCACAUCUUUCAAUCUUCUCGACCUUAUACCUGCAAAUUGUAGAUAUUAGUGCAUCCAAUCAUAACUAUGUCUCAUAUAUUUAUUCAAAAUAAGGUAAUGUGCAUGAAUAAUGAGUACGAAAGGUGGUAAAAUCACCACUCAUCAAUACCCCCAACUUAAGGAAAUUGCUUGUCUUCAAGCAUUAUUACGUCUCACCAUGAGACAUAUUCAUUUA
rnacentral:lncRNA from 1 species